rnacentral:rRNA from 1 species
CUACGGGAUGCUCCAGUGGGGAAUAUUGCACAAUGGACGAAAGUCUGAUGCAGCAACGCCGCGUGGAGGAUGACACAUUUCGGUGCGUAAACUCCUUUUAUAUAAGAAGAUAAUGACGGUAUUAUAUGAAUAAGCACCGGCUAACUCCGUGCCAGCAGCCGCGGUAAUACGGAGGGUGCAAGCGUUAUUCGGAAUCACUGGGCGUAAAGGGUGCGUAGGCGGUUUGGAAAGUCAGGUGUGAAAGCCUACAGCUUAACUGUAGAACUGCACUUGAAACUUCCAGACUAGAAUACUGAAGGGGCAGAUGGAAUUAGUGGUGUAGGGGUAAAAUCCGUAGAUAUCACUAGGAAUACCUAAAGCGAAAGCGAUCUGCUGGGAAGUUAUUGACGCUGAGGCACGAAAGCGUGGGGAGCAAACAGGAUUAGAUACCCGCGUAGUC